GAGUUUGAUCGUGGCUCAGAGCGAACGCUGGCGGCAGGCCUAACACAUGCAAGUCGAACGAACCCUUCGGGGUUAGUGGCGGACGGGUGAGUAACACGUGGGUAACCUGCCCCGAUGAUUGGGACAACCCGAGGAAACUCGGGCUAAUACCAAAUGUGCCCUCCGGCCAUAAGGCCGCUGGGGAAAGGAAGCUUCGGCCUCCGCAUCGGGAUGGGCCCGCGGCCCAUUAGCUUGUUGGUGAGGUAACGGCUCACCAAGGCGACGAUGGGUAGCUGGUCUGAGAGGACGAUCAGCCACACUGGGACUGAGACACGGCCCAGACUCCUACGGGAGGCAGCAGUGGGGAAUCUUGCGCAAUGCGCGAAAGCGUGACGCAGCAACGCCGCGUGGGGGAAGAAGGCCUUCGGUUGUAACCC
rnacentral:rRNA from 1 species